GAAGAAUCGCUUCUUCAGGGUUGGAUCUUCAAUCCCUCUGUCUCCGUUCUUUACAAAAAACCCCAUUCCCCAAAACUUUUAUGAAAUUGGGCUCAACCAUGAACAACUUGAAGAUUCUAAGGUGUUGUUGCAUCAAGGGUUUCCGAAAUCACCACCUUGUUUCUAUAGUCGAUGCUUUACCCUGGCUUGAAGAGCUCGAUAUCUAGUUUUCCGGCUAUUUUUGGAACCGUGGGUGGAAUUCAAAGCCUAGAAGAGGCGCAAAGCACAUGGCAACUGAUGCUGGGAUCGAGAUUUUGGCUGAGCAUAAGAAUGGGAAGUUGGCAAUUAUUACAUGACAGUUGGUUUUGUGUUUGGUUGUUCUGUAUGCAUUUGCAAGCAAAUUAGCAUUGUGGUUGUUUCUUGUUGAGGCUUGAACUUUCAAUCCUCUGUUAUGCUUCUUUUGGUUUCCAUAUUCCUGUACUUUUCUGUUAAUAAUUUAGGGGCCCUUUUUCUUUCUUCCAAAAUUUUCAUUUGAAUUUGCACAUAUUGCUAAGCUUGUUAUUCGGACCUGUUUGGUAGUGUUUUCAAACAAAAAUUCUUCUC